CGCCUUCAUGAAGCCGGAAUUGCUAGUAAUGGCAGGUCAGCAUACUGCCGUGAAUACGUUCCCGGGCCUUGUACACACCGCCCGUCACACCAUGAGAGUUGGGAAUACCCGAAGCCUGUGAGCUAACGUUAAGAGGCAGCAGUCGAAGGUAGAAUCAAUGAUUGGGGUGAAGUCGUAACAAGGUAUC
rnacentral:rRNA from 1 species